UUUCCGUAGGUGAACCUGCGGAAGGAUCAUUACUGAAGACUGUCGCAAGACAGAUAUCCUUCAAACUCUCACUGUGUGGAAGGACGCGGGAUUUAGUUCUCGCGGACGGAAGCCAGUGUGAUUUUACCUUCUGGUAAAAAAAAGUCUGAUACAAUACAUAACAAACCAAAACUUUCAACAACGGAUCUCUUGGUUCUCGCAUCGAUGAAGAACGCAGC
rnacentral:misc_RNA from 1 species